rnacentral:rRNA from 1 species
UACGGAGGGUGCAAGCGUUAUCCGGAUUCACUGGGUUUAAAGGGUGUGUAGGCGGGCUGUUAAGUCAGUGGUGAAAUCUCCGGGCUCAACCCGGAAACUGCCAUUGAUACUAUCAGUCUUGGAUUCUGUUGAGGUGGGCGGAAUAUGUCAUGUAGCGGUGAAAUGCAUAGAUAUGACAUAGAACACCAAUUGCGAAGGCAGCUCACUACAGGGACAUUGACACUGAGGCACGAAAGCGUGGGGAUCAAACAGG